rnacentral:lncRNA from 10 species
GAAAAUGAACCGGUUCUCUGGAUUUAUUCUAGUCAAACACAGAGCCAGGCUGAACAGGGCUUUUGCUGCUCCAUCUUUGAGUUCCUGGGCAACUAUGUGGCUCCCUGAGCUUUUGUUAAGAAAAGCAGAAGCACCAGGGCACCCAGAUCCUGACGGCAUGUGGUAGGUGGAGAUUGCUCUCCUGCCCUGCAAGUUGGGCAAAUAGGAUGAAAAUUUCUGCACGUUUGAAGGAGAAAGAACAAAGAACAGAGACAGAUGGGGAGUGGAGCAAGAUGGUGGAAUAUGACUCUGUAGUGAUCAUCCACCCACAGAAACAUCAACUUGAGUAACUAUUCACAUGCAAAAAACCUUC